rnacentral:lncRNA from 1 species
UAUAGAUGUUACAUUAUGUCCAUUUUAUAACAUAGAUAUUAUUAUUAUUUCCAUUUUGCAGAAACUAAAGCAGACUGAAGUUAAAUGACAUACCCUGGAUAACAAAGCUAGUGAGUGUCUGAGGCUCAAUUUGAACUCAGGUGAAGGCCUCCAUCUCCCUGUGCCUCAUUCUGAAGUUGCCCCUUGGAUUUUCCCAGGAAUGGGGUCAGCCCUGCUUGCUUUUCCUCAUUUGCAGACCACAAUGAUUGGUGUUUGUUUUCUGUGUAUACAGAGGGACAGAGAGCAAAAGUAAGCCCAAGAAGGACAAUGGAAAAGAAAACGUAGCAUAGUUUUUUAAAAUAAUGAACUCAUUGAGGACCCUUCACUUGGAUCAGACCCAAAUGAAAUAAACUUCAAUGCCUAAGAUGAAGUCA